ensembl:lncRNA
AUUAUUUGGAGGCGGGUGCUUUAUAGAGACCAGAAGAAAUCUGAGGGUUUGGCAGAGCUCAGGAGAUUGGUCCUGCAAUAAUGUAUUCGAGUCUUCUGAUGCACCAUGUGCUAUGUGUACCUCUGUAAAGGCAUCACCACCCUCUCGCCCUUCUCCACUCCCUUCAUCAUCAUCAUCAUCAGCUGCCCCUGUGAUGGGCACAUCAUCUUCAUCCUCCCCAUCAUCACCUGCCCCUUUGCCCUGUGAUGCAUCCACUUCUGUGAUCUCUCCAUCACAGGUGUCCCAGACACUCUCAAUAAGGGAGGUUCAUCAAUCCCUUCAAAAAGAAAAUGGGAGGACUCUGAGGUAAAAGCAGUUGAAAAACAUAUGAUGAAGUUCAUAAAGACCUGCAGAGUUCCUGGUAAGCAAGACUGUGAGAGAUGCAUUAAAGCAGAGUCAGAAGCCUUAAAGGAACGAACAUGGACUGGUGUGAAAAAUUAUGUGCGGAACAGGAUCACAACUUGAGGUGGAUUUUAGAGGCUACAUUGCCUUUUACUGUAAAGUGAAGAACAUGGUGAGGAAAAUGUUAAAAGCAUCAAUGCCAUUUACACCAUAUCAAACUUUAAUAACUUCUGUAAGGCCCUGUUAUACCCCGUUUUAACACUUUCCACAUCAUGCUCAUCAUUUUAAAGAAAUUAGAUAAAAGUUUAAGUAGAAAGAUGUAUAAAGAGGGAGAAUUUGUUUGAGGACAGAAGGAAACACAAUGUUAAC